GGUUAAUUCGAUGCAACGCGAAGAACCUUACCUGGUCUUGACAUCCCGGAGACCCUUAGGAAACUAGGGGGUGCUUCCAUCUGGAAGAAUCUGGAGACAGGUGCUGUAUGGCCGUCGUCAGCUCGUGUCGUGAGAUGUUGGGUUAAGUCCCGCAACGAGCGCAACCCUUGCCUUUAGUUGCCAGCAGUUCGGCUGGGCACUCUAAAGGGACUGCCGGUGUUAAACCGGAGGAAGGUGGGGAUGACGUCAAGUCCUCAUGGCCUUUAUGACCAGGGCUACACACGUACUACAAUGGCCGAUACAAAGGGCAGCGACACUGCGAGGUGAAGCCAAUCCCGUAAAAUCGGUCUCAGUCCGGAUUGGAGUCUGCAACUCGACUCCAUGAAGUUGGAAUCGCUAGUAAUCGUGGAUCAGCAUGCCACGGUGAAUACGUUCCCGGGCCUU
rnacentral:rRNA from 1 species